rnacentral:rRNA from 1 species
AGUCGAACGGCAGCGCGGGGCAACCUGGUGGCGAGUGGCGAACGGGUGAGUAAUAUAUCGGAACGUACCCAAGAGUGGGGGAUAACGUAGCGAAAGUUACGCUAAUACCGCAUACGAUCUAUGGAUGAAAGUGGGGGAUCGCAAGACCUCAUGCUCCUGGAGCGGCCGAUAUCUGAUUAGCUAGUUGGUGAGGUAAAGGCUCACCAAGGCGACGAUCAGUAGCUGGUCUGAGAGGACGACCAGCCACACUGGAACUGAGACACGGUCCAGACUCCUACGGGAGGCAGCAGUGGGGAAUUUUGGACAAUGGGCGCAAGCCUGAUCCAGCAAUGCCGCGUGAGUGAAGAAGGCCUUCGGGUUGUAAAGCUCUUUUGUCAGGGAAGAAACGGCUGGGGAUAAUACCCUCGGCUAAUGACGGUACCUGAAGAAUAAGCACCGGCUAACUACGUGCCAGCAGCCGCGGUAAUACGUAGGGUGCAAGCGUUAAUCGGAAUUACUGGGCGUAAAGCGUGCGCAGGCGGUUUUGUAAGUCUGUCGUGAAAGCCCCGGGCUCAACCUGGGAAUUGCGAUGGAGACUGCAAGGCUUGAAUCUGGCAGAGGGGGGUAGAAUUCCACGUGUAGCAGUGAAAUGCGUAGAGAUGUGGAGGAACACCGAUGGCGAAGGCAGCCCCCUGGGUCAAGAUUGACGCUCAUGCACGAAAGCGUGGGGAGCAAACAGGAUUAGAUACCCUGGUAGUCCACGCCCUAAACGAUGUCUACUAGUUGUCGGGUCUUAAUUGACUUGGUAACGCAGCUAACGCGUGAAGUAGACCGCCUGGGGAGUACGGUCGCAAGAUUAAAACUCAAAGGAAUUGAC